rnacentral:rRNA from 1 species
AUUGAACGCUGGCGGCAUGCCUUACACAUGCAAGUCGAACGGCAGCACGGGAGCAAUCCUGGUGGCGAGUGGCGAACGGGUGAGUAAUAUAUCGGAACGUGCCCAGUCGUGGGGGAUAACGUAGCGAAAGCUACGCUAAUACCGCAUACGAUCUAUGGAUGAAAGCGGGGGAUCGCAAGACCUCGCGCGAUUGGAGCGGGCCGAUAUCAGAUUAGGUAGUUGGUGAGGUAAAGGCUCGCCAAGCCGACGAUCUGUAGCUGGUCUGAGAGGACGACCAGCCACACUGGGACUGAGACACGGCCCAGACUCCUACGGGAGGCAGCAGUGGGAAUUUUGGACAAUGGCGCAAGCCUGAUCCAGCAAUGCCGCGUGCAGGAUGAAGGCCUU